rnacentral:lncRNA from 1 species
UGAUGUUAAUAUGUAUUUCAUCAUGUCUUUGUUAACUGCAUCUUUUUUGUGUGUUCUUAGGGAGAACCUGGUUUGCCUGGCGUAGCGGGGGAGAAGGGAGCAGCGGGGCUUAAGGGUGACCCUGGAGAGAGAGGAGAAAAGGGUGAUGCUGGAGAAAAUGGACCAAAGGGUGACACAGGAGAAAAGGGUGACCCUGGUUCGUCUGCUGCAGGAAUUAAGGGUGAACCUGGUGAAUCUGGACGGCCCGGACAAAAGGGUGAACCAGGUUUCAUUGGUCCGCAGGGAGAACCCGGGCUGCCAGGGUUACCAGGAACAAAGGUAAGGCAGUUGAACAAUGCUCCAAUAUAAAAUCCCUUGGAGCAACUUCAAUUUUGUUAGAAGAGAUUGUGCUAACUGUGUAAAAAUCUUU